rnacentral:rRNA from 1 species
GACGAACGCUGGCGGCGUGCUUAACACAUGCAAGUCGAACAGUGGCGAACGGGUGAGUAACACGUGAGUAACCUGCCCUCCACUUUGGGAUAACUCCGAGAAAUCGGGGCUAAUACUGGAUAGUGGGGGAUGGGCGUGGGGCCUAGCAGUUGGUUGGGGAGGUAGUGGUCACCAAGGCGUGAGGUGAAGCCGGCCUGAGAGGGCGACCGGCCCCACUGGCCCUGGGGAGCCGGCCAUAGUCAUACGGGAGGCAGCGGUGGAGAUUAGUCCACGAAGGGCGGAGGCAUUAUGCAGCGACGCCGCGUUGGGGAUGACGGCUUUCCGGUUGUAAACCUCUUUCAGCAAGGAAGCGGUACCUGCAGAAGAAGCGCCGGCUAACUACGUGCCAGCCGCCGCGGUAAUAC